AUCGCGUCUCGGCCUCUUGGCUCAGAUCAAGUGUAGUAUGUGUUCUUAUCAGUUUAAUAUCUGAUACGUCCUCUAUCAGGGGACCAUAUAUUAAAUUGUUUUUUGGAAUCUGGAGAUGGAACAGGGGCCUGCUCCGUCCACUCCACGCAUCGACCCGGUAUUGCAGUACCUCCGGGAACGGGGCCCAUUUC